GACGUAGGGCGCGAGCGUUGUUCGGAUUCAUUGGGCGUAAAGGGUGUGUAGGUGGCGCCGUAAGUCGGGUGUGAAAUCUCGGGGCUUAACUCCGAAACUGCAUUCGAUACUGCGGUGCUUGAGGACUGGAGAGGAGACUGGAAUUCAUGGUGUAGCAGUGAAAUGCGUAGAGAUCAUGAGGAAGACCAGUGGCGAAGGCGGGUCUCUGGACAGUUCCUGACACUGAGACACGAAGGCCAGGGGAGCAAACGGG
rnacentral:rRNA from 1 species